rnacentral:rRNA from 1 species
GGGCCCGCACAAGCGGAGGAACAUGUGGUUUAAUUCGAUGAUACGCGAGGAACCUUACCCGGGCUUGAAAUGCAUCUGGCGUCCCGAGAGAUCGGGAUUUCCUUCGGGACAGAUGUGUAGGUGCUGCAUGGUUGUCGUCAGCUCGUGCCGUGAGGUGUCGGCUUAAGUGCCAUAACGAGCGCAACCCUCAUCGUUAGUUGCCAUCAGGUAGUGCUGGGGACUCUAACGAGACUGCCAUCGUAAGAUGCGAGGAAGGUGGGGAUGACGUCAAAUCAGCACGGCCCUUACGUCCGGGGCGACACACGUGUUACAAUGGGUGGUACAAAGGGCAGCUACAUGGCGACAUGAUGCCAAUCUCCAAAACCACUCUCAGUUCGGAUCGGAGUCUGCAACUCGACUCCGUGAAGCUGGAUUCGCUAGUAAUCGCGCAUCAGCCACGGCGCGGUGAAUACG